GACGAACGCUGGCGGCGUGCUUAACACAUGCAAGUCGAACGGAAAGGCCUGCUUUCCCUUGUGGAUUGCGGGUACUCGAGUGGCGAACGGGUGAGUAACACGUGAGUGAUCUGCCCCCAACUUGGGUAUAAGCCUGGGAAACUGGGUCUAAUUCCCGAUAGGACUGCAGGGUGGUGCCCGUGGUGGAAAACGAUUUUCUAGUGGUUGGGGAUGAGCUCGCGGCCUAUCAGCUUGUUGGUGGGGUAAUGGCCUACCAAGGCGGCGACGGGUAGCCGGCCUGAGAGGGUGGACGGCCACAUUGGGACUGAGAUACGGCCCAGACUCCUACGGGGGGCAGCAGUGGGGAAUAUUGCACAAUGGGCGGAAGCCUGAUGCAGCGACGCCGCGUGGGGGAUGACGGCCUUCGGGUUGUAAACUCCUUUCGACCGCGAGGAAGCCACCUGGUUGGAAGGGUGGUGACGGUAGUGGUAGAAGAAGCACCGGCUAACUACGUG
rnacentral:rRNA from 1 species